UACGUAGGGUGCGAGCGUUAAUCGGAAUUACUGGGCGUAAAGCGUGCGCAGGCGGUUUUGUAAGCCAGAUGUGAAAUCCCCGGGCUUAACUUGGGAAUGGCAUUUGGGACUGCAAGGCUCGAGUGCGGCAGAGGAGACUGGAAUUCCUGGUGUAGCAGUGAAAUGCGUAGAUAUCAGGGGGAACACCGAUGGCGAAGGCAGGUCUCUGGGCUGACACUGACGCUCAUGCACGAAAGCGUGGGGAGCAAACAGG
rnacentral:rRNA from 1 species